AGUGAGGUAUUUGUGUCUGAUCCCUAUGUGAGGUAGAGUGAGGUAUUUGUGUCUGAUCCCUAUGUGAGGUAGAGUGAGGUAUUUGUGUCUGAUCCCUAUGUGAGGUAGAGUGAGGUAUUUGUGUC